rnacentral:rRNA from 1 species
GAGCUUGNGUGAACCACACUCGCCAGAGNGCUGCCAGUAUUAAGACCACUUGCUAAAAUCUGUUGUGAAUUAUAUAGUCUGAAUUUUGUGUCUUGAAAAUGAAAUAAAACUUUCAACAACGGAUCUCUAGGCUCUUGCAUCGAUGAAGAACGCAGUGAAAUGCGAUAAGUAAUGUGAAUUGCAGAAUCUCGUGAAUCAUUGAAUCUUUGAACGCACAUUGCGCCCUAUGGUAUUCCAUAGGGCAUACCUGUUUGAGCGUUAGCUCCCCAUAUUCUCAAGCAUUAUUUUGUAAUGUUUGGAUUUGUUUGGAGAGGCACCUCUGUCAUGGAGGUACCCUUCAAAAAUGUAUAUGGCAGUAUAGUUUAUAUCUGAACAAGGGCGUAAUAAUAAUAAAGUCGCUGAGUUCACCCUAUUUAUACUUGCCUGAACCCACCCAUUGUUAAAUCGGGUAACCUCAAAUCAGGUAGGGAUACCCGCUGAACUUAAGCAUAUCAAU